AUUUCCUUUGAACAUUGAAGUCGCGAUGCAACGGUUUCUGUAAUAAUAGGUGUAUACAAGUAGUGUUAAAAAUGUGAUCUCUUAUUAUCAUUUGUCAUUUGUACUUGAAAGAUAAAAAUUGAUGAUAGAAACAUC